rfam:Lupinus angustifolius cultivar Tanjil chromosome LG01, whole genome shotgun sequence.
GGUCAUACUUUUCCACAGCUUUCUUGAACUUCUUAUGCAUCUUAGUGUUCUUCAUGUCCAGAAUUUGAAGCCCUAGAAGUUCAAGAAAGCUGUGGGAGAAUAUGGCAA